CACCGUGAACUCCGAUUGGUCUGAGUGAAUUUUAGUCGACGCCCCAAACCCUCGGUCACCGGGCCGAGUCUCAAACGUUGUUUCCUGGACUUGCAGCCUUCCUGUGGAGAGAAAACACGCUUCCUCCCACGACCUUACAAAGGAUAAGUGGUGACAACUAAUGGAUGGAUGGCUAAACAUCCAUUCUUCUGCCAGAAAGGUGGUGUAUCAAAGACGAGAAGUGACCUUGGUCAACAUCUGUGGAAGAAACAGAAGUAACAAAGGAAUGCAAAAGGUUGCCAACAACAAUCAGUCCCUCAAGGUGAAGCUCGAAGUAAAGCCGAUGAACAGCCGCAUGAUGUCCUGGAUUACAAACAGUUUAAUUGGCAGAUGUCUCAGCAGUGCUGCACAGCAGACGGGCUGCUAACUUGAGACCACACUGUCUUCGGAGUCAGCUCAGGCUCACGUCAUCUCCAGAGAUUUUCUGAUGGCUCUUCUGUUGUUCCGUUAGAGGAUGUGUCAGUAGUGGCAGAGGGAGAGAAUCCAUCUGCACCCGAAAAUUAGAACUAGCGGCAGACUUGAGGACACGAGGCAAGAAAGAAUUCACUCAACACUACUAAAGUACAAAUACUAACAGGGGUUCAUAAUAAAUUUUAAUAUAUGGAGGUCUUUAAGUGUGUGCAACAUACUGAGAAUACACUGUGCUUUUUUCUGCAGUUUAGGGACAGAGUCAUCAACACCAUCAGACUACCUUCUCUUGCAGUAAUAAAUGAACCAAAUAACAAUUUUCUAAGUAUUCCUUAGUAUAUUGUAUAUUCUGUCCAAUUCUGAAGUCAAUUCCCUGUGCUGGAAUAAAGUGUUGAACAAUAACACUCCUAUAUGAAGGAGGAGUCUUUUCUUCUUGCCAUAAAGCACAUGGCUCAUUCACUUAGUCUUCCUGAUGAAGGAGCUUUGCUCCCUCUUUGCCCAAAAUUAACAACAACAUGCAACAUUUCACUUACUUCCUGCUUUAAUUUGCAUUGUGAAUACAGUAUAUGUCAUGUUAUAUUAUUAAAAACAUACAUUUUUAAAUGUUUACCAAAAAUCUUUGCAUUAAUAAACUUGGUAAACUGGUCCCAAACUGCUACAUUCUGGCCGUGUGAAUAAUAGAAUUAUGCAUGUUCAUUGCUUACCAGUUUCUCUGUGCAAGAAACACUAAUGGUUUGC